UGCCAAGAGUGAAGGACAUGAUGACCAUGGGCUUCUUGUGAGUGAGAAGGCAAGGAAAUAUGCUAUUGUUAAGGAGCUUGAUGAUGUUGUCGACCUCAAAGAUGGAACUGUGGUUCUUCAAUAUGAAGUUCGCCUCCAGGAUGGACUUGAAUGUGGUGGUGCCUAUCUUAAAUACCUCCGGCCCCAGGAGGCAGGUUGGAUUCCCAAGGAAUUCAACAAUGAGUCUCCCUAUACUAUAAUGUUUGGACCAGAUAAAUGUGGAGCCACAAACAAGGUUCACUUCAUCUUGAAACAUAAGAAUCCUAAGAGCGGGGAGUACAUCGAGCACCACCUUAAGUUUCCACCAUCUGUACCUUCUGACAAACUAACCCAUGUUUACACUGCUGUGCUGAGACCGAACAAUGAGUUGCUGAUCUUGAUUGAUGGGGAAGAGAAGAAGAAGGCUAACUUUCUUUCAGAGGAUGAUUUUGAGCCAUCUCUCAUUCCUGCACAGACGAUUCCAGAUCCAGAAGAUAAGAAGCCCGAGGACUGGGAUGAGAGGGAAAAAAUCCCAGACCCAGAUGCUAAGAAACCAGAUGAUUGGGACGAGGAUGCACCAAUGGAGAUUGAAGAUGAGGAAGCUGAGAAGCCCGAGGGAUGGUUGGAUGACGAACCUGAAGAGAUCGAUGAUCCUGAGGCAACAAAGCCUGAAGAUUGGGUUGAUGAGGAAGAUGGUGAAUGGGAGGCUCCAAAAAUUGAUAACCCGAAGUGUGCCGAGGGCCCUGGAUGUGGGGAGUGGAGAAGACCAAUGAAGAGCAAUCCAGCUUACAAGGGAAAAUGGCAUGCUCCAUUGAUUGACAAUCCCAAUUACAAGGGUAUUUGGAAGCCAAGGGAUAUUCCAAAUCCUAACUAUUUCGAACUCGACAGGCCGAAUUUUGAGCCUAUUGCAGCAAUUGGCAUUGAAAUUUGGACAAUGCAAGAUGGUAUUUUGUUUGACAAUAUCUUGAUAGCCAGUGAUGAGAGAGUUGCAGAAUCAUACAGGAAGACUGCAUGGAAGCCCAAGUUUGAUGCAGAGAAAGAGAAGCAGAAGGCUGAGGAAGCAACGAUCUCUGGUGGGCUCAAAGGAUUCCAGGUAAUUGAUUAUACUUUCUUCACCAUACAUUCCAUCGUUCUUGGUUUUUCUUUGUAUUUCGUCACUUGACUUGAGAUAUAUUGGAACAAUCUGCAGAAAGUGGUAUUUGAUCUUCUCUACAAGGUGGCUGACAUCCCCUUGUUGGGUGAACACAAGUCCAAAGUGCUGGUGAGUGAAUGACCCGGUGUUCUGGUGUUGCAUGUUGUUUCAUUUUUGUAUGUGUGACUAAUACAUAGAUUUGUGUUGUAGGAUCUUCUUGAGAAGGCUGAGACAAAGCCUAAUCUCACAGUUGGUGUUGUCAUUUCAAUCGUAAUUGUCAUCUUCACAGUUCUCUUGAAACUCACCUUUGGUGGGAAGAAGCAGCAACCUGUAAGUCCGAACUCAGCCUCAGCUUUCCUCCCAUCCCUUUGUCCAAAAGAAAUAGGAAAAGAAAGAAAUAUCACACCUGGUUUCAUGUUUGUUGGGUAUGUUUGAUAAAAGAAACCUACUUGCUUGUGCAGGCAAGAGCUACUGGAGAGCCUAAGAAAAGUGAUGGUGCCGAGGCAUCAACUUCUAACAGUCAAGGAGCUACGGAGGAGAAAGAAGAGCAGAAUGAGGAUGCUGCUGCUGCUCCUCGUAGAAGGACUAGACGUGAUAAUUAGUGAUGGGCGAAGAAGUAGCGAGUGCUAGAAGGACUUAGGUGCUAUGCUGUUCUUUUAUUUUCCUUUACUAUCUUACUUCUUCCCCUGCUUUACCUAAUGGCCAGGCCAGCAAACAUUUUCCCAAAAUUUUAUGGUUUUUUCCCUCGGAACAGGCAAUGUGUGACAAUGUACAAUGAGACAGAUCCAUAUAAUUAGGGUAUUCUUCCAUAGUUUUUGAUGUAGAAGAUUUUUGUUCAAGUUGCUUAUAUUGCCCGUCGUAGAUUCUUUUUGUUAAGUUUAUUUUAGUCCUCUUGCUGGAUUUUGACUUUCUUUUUUAAUGUCUUUAUGAUUCAUACAUAGUCUCUUCUUUUCCUUCCAACAGCCUUAGAGCAAAGCAGUACCAACGAUUGACAGAAAAUUAAUAACACUAGCAGCAAAAUGGAUUCUAGUAAUCUAGUUUUUAGUUCUGUGAAAGAGAGAUUUAUGUUAUAUCCUGUUUAUGAAUCCUCUGAUUAAUAUUCUUUCAUCAUCAUUCCAAACAGUCAACCGAGUGAACUUCGUAAUCACACAAUCUACAGCUAAGACCAUCCAUAUAAGCCCGGUUUUAUAUUGUGAAUAAGUAGAAAUGACACCAGAAUACUGCUAUUUAGAAAUUAGCCGGUGCAUCCUAAAUUUUUUUCAGUUCAAUUUUUCGAGAUAAGAGUAUUCUGAAUUGUGCUGAAAUUAUGAUUUUUAGUUUAAAAUUUCAAGACAAAAUAAGUACUGGCUAAUUUCUAUAUAGCAUCCCUAAAAAUGGCUAUCAGUGCACUUGCCUCCUUCCUCUUUAUAAUUUCUGUACCCUUUGUUACUUGAAAGGAGAUGGUUGAGGACCAUUAAAUACUACUCAUGGUAAAUUGGCACCAGUGCAACCGAGACAGUGUCCUAACAUCUAACCUAACCUUCUGAAUCCAAGUUAAAGACUAGACAAACUGUCAAGAGUUGCUUCAACUGUUACAAAUUAAUUCUUUACUCCUACCAUCCUAAAAAUGUCAAUUUUAAACAUCACUUCAGGGUUUGAAGUGAAAUUUCGUGUUACAAACAAUAAAUGGAGAUAUCAAAGUCCAAACCAUCAACUAUUGAAAGGUUAAACAGAAUGGAACCAAUAUACCAGAAAGAAGGCCCCCGCCCCCGAAUAUCUCAUCUAGCGAAACAAGUAGAAGAAAAGUAUUUUCUCCCACUGGAACUAAGAAAAGACAAUCCAAUACUUUGUAACAAUUACAACCAGUGGUAUACAUCUUCAAUAAUACGUUAAACGACGCAAAGUGACGGCAGAAGCCCCACGGAGAUUAAUGACCACGUAGUUGUCUUGCGGGUAUCAUGGAUGUGGGUGGGUUUGGAAUCGAAUCGUUUGGCCCAAUAUCAUCAAUUGGAGGACGCUGCUUAUGAUGAUUGGUGACUGACUGAUAAGCCAUUGCCAGUGCUAAAGCCUGCGCGUAAAAAGGAACACACAAAAUCAAUAUGGAGGUUGCUUAGCAAAGAACAGAAUUCCAAAAGCCACAUCUCAAUAACAAGACAAAGAACUACACUUAGUGUUGACAGUAAACAUGGAUUUAGGGCGCGUUCCUUGAGUUCAAAUGAACUCAUUGCUUUCUGUUCGAACGAUGUCACAUAUACAAAAAAACAUAUAAAAUGCAUACACAUACUAAUAUACUAAAACCACUCAUUCUGAAUCACACUAACAUUAGAUAUAGAUGAUCCUAGAGUUGCCGCUGGUGGGAGGUAUCCCUUACAAAUCGCAAAAACAUAAGAGAGAGAAUUAGAGCCUUACAACAUGAUCAUGGUCGGGAGGAGCAUAAAUGCCUGUAGUGAUUGUUGUCCUCCUGCGAGUAUCAUCUGUUGGAGCAUUCGGUAUCUUCUUAAAUCCUAUUGGAACCACCACUACUGGCAUACCCACUAGAUUGCCCACACAAACUUUCUCCCAAUCAGUUGCAUCUCCAAUAAACGCGUCAACUUUGAAGCUUUCUCUGACUUCCUGAAUCAAUUUGCUUCUAGCUCUCUGUGCCUGUUAAGUACAACUUCAUUCUUUUAACGCUUAACAAAAUAUUUGAUUCCACAUACAAAUAUUAAUCUGUUAAUGUCUGAACAACAACUGCAAAGUGGAUCAGGCUCUAUCCGAAGCCAAAGUGUUUUAACACCUCGAGAAUUGUUUUCUAGAACAAGACAUGUACCUGAAUAUAGUCUACAGCAGUUAUUACACGGGCACGUCGAAGUUCAAGAGGCCAUUGGUUUUCAGCUUCAAAUUCAUUAUCCUUGUUAGAGCGUUGCCACUCAUCAAAGUGGGCUAGCAUGUCAACAUCCAUAGUGAAGUUGACAAUACCUUGAGCAAUGUCAACAGUAUAUUUCAGAUCAAAAGGAACCAUCUUCGCUCCCUUUGAUUGAAGUACAUUAACAACCUGUCAUUGACAUAAUUAAACAGUCAAAUCCUGGCACUCACAGAAGAUGAAGAAACGAAUUGAAUUACAGAAUUAGUCAUAUGUUGAAAUUUCUAGUAAUGAAAAGAAGUCACUUACUUCCUUGUCAGCGUCCUCAAGAUAACCGACAGUGAGUUUUGUGAUGUCAACUGAAAAUGGAUCAACUAACGCGAUGUCUCUGGAUGAAAGAUCAUCUGGGUCCUUUCCCAGGAUGGCAUCGAGAACAACAGCGCAAUCUGCUGCACUUCUACAAAAUGGUCCUAGUUUGUCCUAAUAGAACAGCCAGAUUUAAGUGUCAGCGCUGCUAUAAUAAAAGAUAAAACACAUACGAAAUGGAAUCAAAUUCUGUGUUUGUGCAAGAGAUAUGGUACCAAGCUUUCAGAUAUGCUCAUAACUCCAGUACGACCAACAGCUCCAAAAGUGGGCCGCAAUGCAGUAACACCACACCUAGCAGCUGGGUAGGUAAUCGACCCAACAGUUUCUGAACCAAUUGCAAAAGGAACUAUACCUGCAACACAAAGACACCGUUGUCAAAAGAAUAUACUUCGCCUACUAAUAAGCAAACUAACAUGAAGGGGCGGGAACUGCCAUUCUAAGUCUUGAUGGAGGAUUCCAUCCACAAACACAAAGUUCAUAGGCGGACUGAUAUUGCUUAUCACCAUUUACCUGUAUGCACAUACUUUCCUUGUUGUUGGUCAUAGUUGUUGAACCAAUUUCAGGAUUAGGCACAGAAUACAUAACAACAACAACAACAACAUCCCAGUGUAUUCCCACAAGUGGGGUCUGGGGAGGGAAGGAUGUACGCAGCCUUACCCCUACCCUGGAAGGGCAAAGAGACUAUUUCCGGAAGACACACACAGUACAUAAGAUCCUUUAAAUUCUAUUCAUUUGGAUCAGUGAAUGACUAAAUGUUAGUUCAAGUCCAUUCUUUCGACCGUGCAGAUACACAAACAGAUGUAGGCAUCUAGCAGAAGAAGUAAUAUCAUAUUUGCCACAAUGGAAGAUAGGCUUAUCUCCAUAAAAACACCUAUUAGGAAUAGUAUACCUGUUGAGGUGCAGGAAGCUGGCCCUGCCGAUGAACCAGUAGAAAAUUCUUCCAUAUUCCAUGGAUUUCUUGUUCUACCGCCAAACCAGAUAUCAUCAUAUGCUAAAGAACCAGCGACUAAUUUUGCAACAAGAACAGCACCAGCAGAUUUCAGCCUGCAUCAACCGUAUCUAUAAGUUAUACAAACACAUGCACAAUAUAUGAUAGCUAGUGAAUGGGGCCUCUACAUUCAUUUGUCAAUACCUCUUAUAAACCCAAGCUUCGAGAUCAAGAACUUGAUCUUUGAAAGAUUUGGAGCCCCAUGUUGUGGGAUAGUUUGGUACUGCAAUAAUGUCCUUCAAACCAUACGGAAUCCCAUGAAGAGGACCUAUAAAGAAUAAAAUCAAAUAAAUGUAUCUAGUCCCUUUGAGAAAAUUCAGAGAAAGCUAAUUGUAUAUGAAGUUUUUCUAAUUAAGAUCAGACCCGGGAGGCUUCAUCUCUUAGAAUAAAAUGAGAAGUGCUGGAAUAUAAUGGAAAAUAAUGGAGGAUGUUAAGAGUAGGUAAAAUGCUAAUAGCAGCAAGGGUAUACAAGAAAGGAAGAGGGCCAAGGGGAAAGGAAGGAGGAAUGUUACCCAAAUAUUUGCCUUUUGAAAGCAGUUGAUCAGCUUCUUUUGCUUGUUGAUAUGCUAAUUCUUCAGUAAUUGUGAUAACGGAUUCAAGGACAGGACCAUACCUGUGAAGCUCCGGAAGUACAAUAUUUUGAGAAUCAAAUUAUUCAAUAACAUACAAAGCAGAUUACAGGAAGAAAAGCAUUCACCAUACCUUUGUAAUCUGUCCAAAAAAAUUCCAGUUAGCUCCGCUGAUGUAAUUAAUUUUUCCUUUAGAAGUUGCCCAAGUUCAAGAAUCUGAUAUAACAGCAUACCAUGUAUCAAUAAUAAAAUAAAAAUGACAUACAUUGGUACAACAUAGUUCCUUGCUCGUUUGGUACGAGGGAUAAGGGAAAAUUAAUCCCGGGGAUUAAAUUUGAAAUGAGUUUAUUCCACGUUUGGUUGGGAUUACAGUAUAAGUUAAAGGGACUAAGAGGGUGCACUUACACUCAUAAAAGCAAUAUCCUCAUCAUUUUUUGGCCUUUGAAUACCAGAGUAUACAGGGUAAUUGAACUUGCCUGUUCCUUGCUUUACUUCUUUCGCAUUCCAUACAGAAUUGAAAACCAAAGGAGAAGGGUUAUGUAGACCUCCAUUUUCAGUAGCGACUAACUUCCUAUUGCUUCCGAUUAUAGGAAUGUUAAAAUUUUGUGCACCCUUUUGAAUUUCAAGCUUCUGAAAAAGAAUGAGCACAACAAAAAUGGCCCUACUUAGUUUUCCAAUUCACAUCGAGAGUACUAACGAAACGUUUAAGUGAUCUUAUUAACACUGUCACAGUACCUUACAGUCAUUGAAAAAACCAGCGUCCAACAUAUCAAAUCCACAUUUACAUACUGGAAAACUAUUUUUGGCCUGUUCCAAGUGUUCCCCGCAGUUUUUAGGACCCAACUUCCCACUGUCCUGAUUAAUAACUACAGAUUAUCAAACAGAAACUAUAGCAACUAUAUAAUAGAGGCAACUAACUUUAUCAUUGAUUUAAUGCAAAUUUGAAUGUACUACCUUGACGUAAGGUCCCUGGAAUAAUAACCCCAGGUGCUCUGUGGUAAAUAUUUGCGUAACUUUCUACAAAUUCUGACCUGCUUUGCAAAUGUUAGUUUGAAGAAAGAGACCAGACACUAGAUCUUUAUUUACCUUUUCACCUUCUAGUCUGCUGUUUCUAUUCUUAGAGUGCUAAAAUAUAAUUCAGUGGUGUUCCCCUACUAUGUUAUCCACAAGCUACUAAAUGUAUAGUGGAAAUAAUGACUGCAAGCUUGCAAUGGAAAUAUAUUAAACAAGAAAAUCCAUAGUAACUUCAAAUGAUAGAUUGUAUAAUAUAGUACUCAUGAGUACAUUAGCAAGUAUCAUUAAAAUGAGUCAAAACUACUCUACCAAUUUAAAUGUAAGUAACAACACAAAAAAGAAAUAGCAGAAACGCAUGCAAUUCUUGAUUAAGCAAGAGGAAGAUGAAGGAAGAGGAGUCGAGAGUAUACCAUAUUUGUGGAAAUGCAGGCAAAACCCAAUAUUCUAAUGGGAAUAAUGAAGAAGAAAUUGGAGUUACGUUGCUGUUUAACAUAACAUAACAAUGUUGAAACAAGAGAAACAGUCCGAGGAAUGUGGUUAAUGGCAAGAACGGUGUUGGCAACGUGGGUAUCAAGUGACAAAUGUCACAUUAGCAGGUUGCCACGUAAUUAGUCAUGAGGACGAGGCCCUUUGGUUCUCUGCAGUAAACUCCUUUGUGUGGUUUCGUAAACUCAAUGUUUACUGUUUAGUAUAACCAAUUCUACAAUAGUUUAAUCUAAAAAGUUUAUGCUCGUAGUGGGGAUAAACCUACUAUUCCUUAAUGAUUAUAUAUGCAUAUUUGCACGGGCGGAGACACGAUUUAAAAUUUAUGGGUUCGAAAUUUUAGUUAUUUUAAGUUACUGAAAUCUAAAUUAAUAAUUUAUGUAUAAUUUAAUUAAUUUUUAAAGACAAAUAUACGAUAUUGAACUAAAACUACGGGUUCAGCUGAACACGCAAUCGAAGGCUAGCUUCGCCCCACAUAUUCCUAUAACUUUUUGUAAAGAUGAAUUUAUAAUUUAACAUUUAAGUUCUUAGAAUUUUAACUUUUAUAGUUAUGACUUGAAAAUUUAGCAUUUAUUGAUAUUUUUAUAAAUUUUCACUAAUUAUUUAUGAUACGAAAAAAGUAUAAUGUGUUCGAUGGAACCUAUAAAAACAGGUUGCAUCCACCUUUUGCUCUUUUGAUACUCAAUGUGGUUUAUAAUUCAUGAUAUUAUUGGUUUAUAAUUCAUGAUAUUAUAAUUCACAUUGGACACACUUGUAAGAAAUAAGAAUCGUCCUAUCUCUUUCAAAAUAUUGCUGCUACUUAUCUCAAUAUUAUUGCUCGAUCAAUUUUUUCAAAUUUAAGGUUUAAAUUUAACGGUCGUUCGACUAAUCCCAUUGUAGAAUAAUUUUAAAUUACUUGCUAUUAAUAAUUAUGUGCCAGCUCAAGUGGUUUAAUUUUUCCAUUUCGGAUAAGGGGUCCAAGGUUCAGCCCUUGUUGUCUCCAAUAUUUUUUAUUUUUUAAGAAGAAUGACCAAAUUUAUAAAAUUAAAAUAAGGUAUCCUAUAGGACUCAAUCCCAUGUCCCCUCUAAUAAAUUUGAAGGUUGAACCAGCGAGCAAAGCCAAUUUUCAUGUUAAAGCGGUGUCAUUUUCCACUUGUAUUAAAUGUAUUUUGUUUUUGUAUUAUUCACAAAUAUAUAUUUAGUAAUAUAUUUUUCGACGAGGCCUCCGCCAAUCGUCGUAGGUAUAUUAAUCACGUUUAUUCGCAUACUAGUAUUAGCACCCGCGCGGAUGCGCGGACAUUAAUCAUGUCAAAUAUUUAAGUUAUUUGGAUUAUAUGUAAAUAAUCUUAAAAUUUAAACUUUCUCAGUAAAUAUAGAUAAUUAUUGGAUAUUAAACACUACAUGAAAAAAAUCAACCAUUUUUUCUAUUUUUCUUUUUAGAUUUCAUUCUCGCCGGUGUCAUUGGAUCCUAAAAAUAGUCAGAAAGCAAAAUAAUAACUAAUGUUUAUGGCAAAACAAUAAAAUAUUGAGACUAUGAAUGACUCUUUGGAUACGACUUGACUCUUUUACUACUACUUGAACUCUUAUUUUGUGUGUUGAUAUCUCUUAAAAAACAUUUCUUUUUUAAAAUUUCAGUUUCUAAAACUUUAUUUUUCAAUAAUAAUUAUUUUUAUAAUAAUAUAAAAUAUUAUCCUUAAUUCAAAACUCAUUUUAGUUGGCUAUCUAAAAAUUUAAAAAAUUCUUUAGUCAGUGAAUUUUGUUUUUCAGUAUGACUCCAUUUUGAUAUUUGACAUUAACCAUGUUAAAUAUAUGAGUUAUUUGAAUUAUAUGUAAAUAACCUUAAAAUUUAAGCCUUCUAAAUAAUUAUAGAUAGUCAUUAGUAUUAAUUAAGAAACACUACAUGAAAAAAGAGUAACAUUUUCUCAAAUCUCGUAGUGAUAUAAUUUUAUUUUUUCACUAUUCUCAUUGGUGUCAUUGAAACCUAAAAAUAGCCACAAAGUGAAAUAAUAACUCAUAUUUAUAGCAAAGAACAAAGGUUGACAUAAUAUAAACGAUUCUUUGGUUACGACGUGACUCUUUUACUACGACUUGAGCUCUUAUUUGGUAAGACAUUAUCUUUCAAAAAAUAUUUCUAUUUUGAAAUUUUAAUUUCUAAAAUUUUAUAUAUAUUUCAAUAAUGAUUAUCUUUAUAAUGAUGCAAGUAAAAAUAUUAUUCUUAAUUUAAAAUUCACUUUAAUUGGCUAUUUAAAGAUAUAAAUGAUUCUUUAGCCGGAAAAACUUUAUUUCAAUAUGACUCCAUUUUAAGUUUAUCGAUAUCCCUAGCCACAUAUUUUAAAUUUUUAAUACCCUAUAUAUACAAAAAACAAAUAUUCUUUGAAUCAUUAAAUAUUAAAUUAGUUGAUUGCUAUUAUAUAACAUUGCAUAUAUUAUCUUAAAAUUGCCAAGUAAUUUAUUUUUUGACACCAUACUUGGCUUAACCUCAAUGCAAACUACUCAAAUUGCAUUUAGAUUCAAAUUCGAAUAUCAUAUCAGUUUGUUAGUAAUAGUGAUUUAUAAAAACGACACACAAUAUAAAUAAAAAAAAUAUUCUAACAUUUUCUUAUCUUAUAAUCUAUGUAUUUGGGUUGAAACAAAUAUUUGAAAUCGAUGAGAUUAGCUUCCAAAUUUUUUAUAUUCAACAAAAAUGAAACGUAAGAAGAAAUUCGUUGUCAUCUCUUAUUUCUGAUUUUUAGAUCUUUCAUUCAUUGUUUUUAAUAUUUAAUUUCUUUUAUCUUAUUUUUAUGUCAUUCUUUCUUUUGUUAAAAAAAUAAUAAUUUAUUUCACUAUAAAAGGAUGAGUUUUAAUAGAAAUUGUCUACAUAAGAACUUUAUUUAUAUUUUUAGUCUUUGGUUGAAAUUCUUUCAUAUUUUUUUUUGGCUUUAUCUAAUCAGCCUAAAUAGGUUCUCACCCGACCACUUAAAUUAAAAAAUUGAAGGAUGUGUAAUAUAUGUAUAAUCCAUAUGUAUAUAAUCGUGUGUUGUCGGUAUAUCAUCUAUUUAUAUUAGCUAUAAAGAGUAAACAAUAAAUAUGGCCAGAUAUUUAUGUAAAUAUUCCAUAAGAUUUUGGUUUUUUGAGUUUAUCCAUGAUAUGACUUCUAUUAUAAUAAUUUUAAAAACUCUCUACUAAUGUUCAAAAAUAUCUUAUCUUUUUAUUAUAUUUGAAGUAGAAAAAAGUAAAGAGUUUUUUCGAAAUAAUUUAUUUACAUUUAAAAAAAAAAUCACGUCAUACCAAUUUUUUUUAAAACAUAUACUCUUUGUUACACUUGAAAAUCGUUAUAGAAACUAUCAAUUAGAAACCAAUAUCUCUCUUGUUGAGUUCGAGAAAAAAAGUCUUUCACAUAAUCUAAUGAUUCAAAACUAAUAUUCUUCAAUAGAAAAAAUAUUAUACCCUUGCAAUAUUGGUUCAGCUUAUACCCUUCAAUUCAUAGGAUGUGCUAAAUUGAAAUUAAUGAUAGCAAUUGUAUAGCCAAAGUUUUGUUGUUUGUUUGAUAUCCAUUUAUACAAAUUGACUCUUCAAAUAAAUAUUCUUCAAAAAAAAAGGAAAAAAUAUAUUUUUUAAUAUUGACUGAUCUUUGUAAUGUUUCUUUCUCUAGCAUGUAUGUUUACUUCAUUAUAUAUGUAAGUAAACUUUUAUUCGAUUUUAAACUCUUUUUUGUUAUUUGGAUAAAUAUAGACGUGUAUCCUAUAUAUUACAUUUAUUUUAAAAGAAAUUCUCUUUAUUCAAAUCUAGCUACAGUGUUUUAAAGAACUAUAAUUAUAGGGGUUUAAAUGUGAAAGAAUUUUAUAGUUAUAUGGAGUAGAUUUUUUUUUUUUUGCCAGAGGCGAAGUAGUAUUUAAAUNNNNNNNNNNNNNNNNNNNNNNNANAAUUAGAAAAGAUAACAAAAGUUUCUAACAUGAUUGCAUAUGAUCAUUAACCGAAUUAAGUAUGAUAACAUGAUUAAAAAAAGAUAAAUUUUUAUUUUUAAUUUAAAUUCGAAUUUUAAAACUUAAUCUAUAAAUUCAAAAUUAUCUUUUAAUUCAAAUUCAGUUUUUAUAUAUAGAAUAAAGUUACCAUAUACUAUUGACAUUUAUUAGCUUGCCACUUGACUUAAUCAUAAUGUCAAUUAUAUAUGGUAACUUUAUUCCUUUAUUAUAUAUAUAAAUUUGUGUUUCCCGUUACAACUUCCUAUGAUUUUUGUCUAAAUUUCAAUAUUAAUAAUACAUAUCUCAAUAUUACUGUUAUUGUUAGAAAAGAUGUAAAAUUGAACUAGAUUUGUUGGGAUUCCGAAUUCCUCAUCAACUUUUGAUGUCUUUCCAUUUUGUUUUCCAUUAAAUAUCUAUCCUUGUAUCUUAAAGAUAAUUUUGCACUAAUAAAGAAAAUACUUGUACUAAUAAAGUUAUGUGCGAAUGUUUUUCCUCUAUUAACUUAAAUUCUGAAGAAAACUUGAGUCACAAACCAAAUCGAAGUGUAAAACUUUUGUUGAGGUUAAUAUUGUAAAGAAAACACUAAAAACAUUCUUUUAAUAAUAAAUAACAUAUUAAUGUAGUAAACAUAAUAUGACCUAUAAAAUUACUUACAUCAAUGCCACAAAACAAUCCCAACCGUAGAACAAACUUUCCAUGCAAGUCCGCGUUUUUGUCGCUACAAACAACGUGGCAAAUGUUAAUUGGUUCAUAUCACGUGUCACAAAGUACAAUUGGCUACAACAAGUCGACGCCACAUUUCUCAAGAUCUAUUUAUUUAUUUAUUUUUUCUUGGUCUCAAGAUCUAUUUAUGCUACUAUCUGGAAAUUAUUGUCCCGCAAAAAUUUCACUCUGUUUUUCUCCGGUUUCUGGAGACUUCUUCUUCUCCCCGUGUUGAUCUAAUUCUCUCUUUGCACCAUAUUUCGAUAUUAUGAAAGAGCAGAAUCGGAGGAUGUGGACGCAAUAUGCACUGUUGCUAUUGGCCGGUUGCUUCGUCUCUCAACUCUACGCCUCUUCAGAUGUGGUAAGAUAAAUAUCUUUACUUACGUGUAUGUUCAUGUUUGUCUUUGCAAUAGCGUGUGUUGGCUGAGAUUUGGUUGCCUUUUCUUUUGUAGAAAAUUUACGAGUCAUUCGAUGAGGCAUUUGAUGGGCGUUGGAUUGUGUCUGAGAAAGAGGACUAUAAUGGUAAGCUUUUUUGUCUGGAUCUGUUCAGUAUUCCUUUAGAAUUUGACUUUUAUAUAUAUCGUAUUAGCAUAGUGUAAGAUAUUUUUUAAUAAGUGUGGUGUCCAACUAGUUUGCAUACACCUCAACUAAUUUGGCGUGAUAACUGCUACCUUCCGUCAGCAAUAAAUAUAUGGUAACUCUAUCCCCAAGACUUGGAUAGAUAGGAAGAAAUAGGUCGGGUCAGGAUUUGAACCUGAGAACUCGAAGUUCUCACCCCACUUCGUUGACCACUAGACUAUAUCCUUGGUGGCAGAUCCUUAUAGUUGAAUUUGAAUUGAUUAAGAAAAUCACACCAAUGCUUAAGAUUUGGAAUUUGAAUUGUAAAAUUAUGAAAGUGUACAAAUUUCUGUCAUCCAAGUUGAAAUGUAAAGUGAGACGGAUGGGGUGUUUUAUUUUCUUUUGGUUUUUUUGGGGGUUGGGGGGGGGGGGGUAACUCAUUGCCAAAAAACUUAUGUUUAAAAUUGUAAUGAUAAUUUUGAAUUUGAUGGAUGGAUGCAUUUAAGGAUGGGGGCGUGGUGUAUUUGCUUAUCUUAUUCUCUUUGAACUGCAACUCUAUGGAUAAUGCAUUAUUAUUAUGAAUCCAACUCGUUUUUGGGGAGAGACGUUCUAUUUGAUGUCCUACCCUUGGCUGAGGGUGGAGUGGUGGCAUAUUAUACUAAAAUAUCGUAUAGAAACUUAGAGAAGUAUGCUAAUUAAAGUCUUUAAUGAUUUUAUAUAGCUAAAACCGAGUGGAGUGAUAUUCAAUACUAUAAUAUCUUUGUGAUGUUACUUGUGACAGCAUCAUUCUAUACAUACAAAAUCAAGGCAAAUAAGGUGAUAAAGAUGCUUUGUGUUGUCUUUUAAGUAUAUGCUAUUAUUCAAAUCCAUUAAUUUUUAUGAAGGUGUGUUAUUUAUUUUCCCCCCUGCCAAAUUUUUGAAUACUGCCAAAUCCUUUAAUACUCUAUGCAUAUGAUGCAGAACUGUGUUCACUGUGAUCGAUAUGACCCAAAAUCCAUUUGUUUCGAAGCAAUGUAGAACUCCUUGAUUCUGUUUGACAUCAGCCGUAAAGUAAUUCUCACUAGAAUUUGUCUCAUGCCUUUGUGCAAUGCCUUUAUGUCUAUAAUGCUAAGUCGAACUUUGAUUGUUUAGAUAAAUUUGUCGCUGUAGAGCUUCUUAUAUCUUCGUGCAAUGUCUUUAUGUUUGUGAUGCUGAGUCAAAUCUUUGAUGUUGAAGUUUCAAGUGUUCAUAUUGAGUUGUAAUUGUGUCUCAGGUGCGUGGAAACAUGCCAAGAGUGAAGGGCAUGAUGACUAUGGGCUUCUUGUGAGUGAAAAGGCAAGGAAAUAUGCUAUUGUCAAGGAGCUUGACGAUGUUGUCGACCUCAAAGAUGGAGCUGUGGUUCUUCAAUAUGAAGUUCGCCUCCAGGAUGGACUUGAAUGUGGUGGUGCUUAUCUUAAAUACCUCCGGCCCCAAGAGGCAGGUUGGAUUCCCAAGGAAUUCAACAACGAGUCUCCCUAUACUAUAAUGUUUGGACCAGAUAAAUGUGGAACCACAAACAAGGUUCACUUCAUCUUGAAACACAAGAAUCCUAAGAGUGGGGAGUACAUCG
rnacentral:lncRNA from 1 species